rnacentral:rRNA from 1 species
UGAGUAACCUGCCCUUAACUCUGGGAUAAGCCUGGGAAACUGGGUCUAAUACCGGAUAUGACUCCUCAUCGCAUGGUGGGGGGUGGAAAGCUUUUUGUGGUUUUGGAUGGACUCGCGGCCUAUUAGCUUGUUGGUGAGGUAAUGGCCCACCAAGGCGACGACGGGUAGCCGGCCUGAGAGGGUGACCGGCCACACUGGGACUGAGACACGGCCCAGACUCCUACGGGAGGCAG